CUUUGUCCUCGCGGUGACUGCAUAUGAUCCCGCUGAAUGUACAUGAUUUUUUCCUCCGUUUACACGAUAUAUUCAUCAAACAGAAGAUCAGAAGGAUGGUGUUAGUUCAUGUCGGAUAUCUGGUUCUUCCUGUCUUCGGCUCAGUCAGAAAUAGAGUCUAUGGAGGCUGAAUCUACAUUCUGCAUUAUCAGAUCAUUGUGUUUUAAUGAUCAUCUGUUCUGAUCCCUCAUUUCCUCUUUCCAUCAGAAGACGACAAACAUCUCAGAUCUGCUCCUUUCCUGAGAGAAUUAAAACACACUAAAACAUAAGAGCUAACUCACUUAGAGCAACUAUUGUCUAUAUAGUGCUGUAGUUACUUAUAACCCACAUCAGUAGCGUUAGACGAGUGAGUCAUGUAUGUCCCAUCCAGCUUUUGGUAGACAACAUGUAUGUAAAUGCCUGUAAAAUGGAUGCAUUUUGUGCUUCAGUAAUCACUAAACACACAUUUCUUUCCCUGUGUUUGGAAAACCUUUAGGGCCGAAACAUUCUCUACGCAAGCACGUGAACGCUGAUGCUUCUGGCAAAAAGCUGUGUGACGUCGCGUUCUGAAACAUGUCGGCAAUUCGUAUCACAACGCAGCUGCGCGUUGCCACAAGGGGCGCUAUAGCGAGAUUAGUGUGAACUGUCCGCGUUACAGUGAGUUUUCUAUUUUAACUUAGGGGUGGCCGAUAUUCAAAAUCAUCUAUCAUGAUAUCGUAAACGUUUUCUGGAAAAUCAAAAAUGUAUUUAUAUAUAAAAUAACCAUAAUGCAAUGCCUGUUUAUGGAAUUCCAGUCAGUGAAUUAAAUACUGAAUAUAUUAAAACUAAGACAAACAAUGUCUAAGUAAAUAAAUAAACAAAAAUCUGCCUUACCAGAAUGCUAAAUAUAACAUUAUGCCACAUUUCACUUUAAAAUGUUGUGGACCAGUAUUAUUAAUAUUAAUAUUAUUAUUAUAAACUUUGCUCCAGAAGCGGAAGAUCUUAAAGCAAUAAAACAUCCAACGAAAAAUAAUUUUUCCGCUCUGUACACCAUGUCGCACCUGUUUAAACCCUUGUGCAUUAAAAACUAUUUUACUCGGUCCUUUUGAGGACAAAUAUGUCCACAUCAGAAAAACUGCCACAAUAGUAUUAUAUAUUAGUAUUAUUUUCCACUUUCAGUUAGUACAUGUUUUUAACCAACAUCAAUCAUUUAUGCAUUUACAUUUAUGCAUUUGGCAGAUGCUUUUAUCCAAAGUGACUUACAGUGCACUUAUUACAGGGACAAUCCCUCCGGAGCAACCUGGAGUUAAGCGUCUUACUCAAGGACACAAUGGUGGUGACUGUGGGGAUCAAACCAGCAACCUCCUGAUUGCCAGUUCCGUGCUUUAGCCCACUACCCCACCCCCACUCCAUAUCCUGAUUAUAACUACCAAAUAUUCAUUCAUUUUCAGGAUUUUAACCCUUUAAAUGCCAGUUUGUUUACAUAAUACCACUGUUGAUUUUUAACACACACACAUUUUAUCUGCAUCAUGUAUUCAGUUGUCCUGCAGGUCUCUAUAAUACAGUAACCAGUGAAUAGGGGAAAAGCUUGUAUUUGCUCCAUAGGAGAAACAUGAGGAAAAUGGCGCCAUCUGGUGGAAAAUAUAAAAAAUUGAAUUGUGAAGCAAGUGUUCUGGAAUGAAAGUAGAAUAUCAUAUAAAUCAUGAUUUGAUGCUUUAAUGGCACUGAGAUGAAAUAUUGCAGUUUUAAUGGUUUCAUUGGGGACAUUUUUGUCCUGAAGGUCCCGAGUGUGACUAUUGUGUACUCGGUGUGUUAUAGAUGUGUUAUAGAUGUAUUAUAGGAACUGAGGCUGAAAUAUCAAAAAUGUAUGCCGUGUGCAUCAACACAGCCAAAAAUAUAAAAAAAAAUGAAAAGACAAAAUGUCCCGAAGGCCGCACAAGGGUUAAAACAAGCUCCUCUUCAUUUUCUCGAUCUGUUUGGGAGUCGUCCCAUUCUGUGGAGAUUUUACUCCAAUGAUCAUAUAGUGCGAGUGAUCCCGCUCUGAGCUCUCCUGUCUCUGGAGCACAAAUAUCGGAAAGCCUGCUGCAAUCGCACACACUUCGGAGCUCCAGAGACCGCUCACGCCACAGUCACGUGAAACAUUCGUGUUGCCUCAAUGCCGGAAAACCCUGUCCAUGUUUCUUCAAGUCUCACGGGAAGCUCUGCCCACUGAUAGAUACACACACGCUACACACAUGGAUAUUUACAUACACCGAUAUACGCGAUAUAGCAAAAUCUCUCUCGUUGACACUUAAUAUCACCGCCAUGAUAUAUAUCGUCAUAUUGCCCAACCCUAUUUCUUCAACUCAACUACGGUCAUGGAGGAGCAACAGUUUGAAGAGAAUGUUGCGGAGCAAGUAUGCUAAAGCAAGUCAGUCCAAUGGAGGCAUUUCAAGUUAUGAAAGUGCAGCUCCUAUCAACUCGAAUGGGGGAACACCGAAAUCUCAAAAACUUAAAAUGUUUUCAAAUCAGCAGUAAACACUGGAAUCAUAAAUUGUGUUUCUUUACCCCAGGAUUACGACAAAAAAAACAAAAAAAAAACAUGUAUAGAUAUGUCAAUCACUUUCUCAAGUUUGAUUGACAGGCAACGUCUGUAUCGAAAAGGUGUAAGGCGGGGCUUCCUUUCUACAUCUGUUGAUUGCUGGGUGUUCCAAUUCUUCCCAUUCAUUUUAAUAGAAGUUGUCCGUCUCUACUAAAUAACUAGAUUGUGGGUGCUGGUGGCGUAGUGGGCUAAAGCACAGAACUGGUCAUCAGAAGGUUGCUGGUUCGAUCCCCACAGUCACCACCAUUGUACGUUUGUACGCACGUUUAGCAUGUUCAACCGUACCGCGCGAUGGCCAAGUGCUCGCAACGCCAUUCACGUUCUUGUGUAGAGAAUGUUUCAGCCUUAAAAUAAUAUUCCAUGUUCAGGACAUGUUAAGCUCAAUCGACAGCUUUUGGGUCAUAAUGACGAUUACCACAAAGAUGUAUUUUGACUCGUCACUCCUUUAAAAAAGUACGAUUCGUGGUUCCAGUGAGACUCUUACAAUGGAAGUCAAUGGGGCCAAUUUCUGGAGGGUUUAAAGGCAGAAAUGUGAAGCUUAUUGUGUUAUAAAAGCUAAAUUGUGUAUUCAUUAUUUGACCUGUAAAGCUGUUUAAAUCAUCAUUGUGGGGCUUUAGGGUUUACAGCGUUAUGUUGUCAUGGCAACCAAGCUGUAAAAUUGUCCAUAUCUUCACACAGAUGUGGUUAAUAAGUGAUUUAAUGUCAGUAAAAUCAUGUUAACACACAUAUUGUUUAUGUCUUGUGUCUAUACUUUUGAAACAGUAUUUUAAUGUUUACAGAUUAAACCCCAUUGACUUGCAUUGGAAGUGUCUCACUGGAUUUGUGCUUUUAUAAAAACAGGAGGGACGACAUACAUUUUUGUGGUAAUCAACAUUAUGCCACACAUGCCAGCUUAACUUGUAUUGAACCCGGAAUAUUCCUUUAAGCCGUCACCUGCAUAACGUAUGCUUCAUUUAUUCCUCUCUGCCCUUCUCAGUUGACACAAUCAUUCCAUGUUUAGAGGAAACACCUAAAACAACAGACACUUUAAAAACCAGAUGAAGUUGCUCAAGUAACAGCAACCUUUAAUUGGCAAUCGAAUGUCUCAAAGUGGCACAACUUCCAAAAUGCGAUCCAUUUGGCAGGGAUGUUGAUGUCCUGCGCUGCUACUGAAAUCUUCUAUUAGAGUGCAAAUGUCUAUUGUUUGGUUGUGGUUUCUCUACCUUUUGUUCUGGUAAUAGACUUGAGUGCAUGAAUCACAUUAUUAUUAUCAUUAUUUUGAUUCUACAUUGAAUAGACUCCAAUGUAAUCUUUCUGUAGUAAAGAUGUACCCUGCUGUACUGUAAUGUGCUGUAGCCGAUGCAUCUGCUCAUUUGGAUGUUGCUUUUGUUCUGUUAACCCUGUACUGAGCAUGGUGGGCCUUGCUGUUGGUCAAUGUUGUUUUAUUUGUUGCAUGGACUUAUUAUGACACAAAUCCACAUAUACUAAUAUUUUUCAAU